rnacentral:rRNA from 1 species
GCCUUCAUGAAGCCGGAAUUGCUAGUAAUGGCAGGUCAGCAUACUGCCGUGAAUACGUUCCCGGGCCUUGUACACACCGCCCGUCACACCAUGAGAGUUGGGAAUACCCGAAGCCUGUGAGCUAACAUUAAGAGGCAGCAGUCGAAGGUAGAAUCAAUGAUUGGGGUGAAGUCGUAACAAGGUAAC